rnacentral:rRNA from 1 species
GAGUUUGAUCUUGGCUCAGAUUGAACGCUGGCGGCAUGCCUUACACAUGCAAGUCGAACGGCAGCACGGGAGCUUGCUCCUGGUGGGCGAGUGGCGAACGGGUGAGUAAUGCAUCGGAACGUAUCCUGGAGUGGGGGAUAACGUAGCGAAAGUUACGCUAAUACCGCAUAUUCUGUGAGCAGGAAAGCGGGGGACCUUCGGGCCUCGCGCCCUUGGAGCGGCCGAUGUCGGAUUAGCUAGUUGGUGAGGUAAAGGCUCACCAAGGCGACGAUCCGUAGCAGGUCUGAGAGGAUGAUCUGCCACACUGGAACUGAGACACGGUCCAGGACUCCUACGGGAGGCAGCAGUGGGGAAUUUUGGACAAUGGGGGCAACCCUGAUCCAGCCAUGCCGCGUGAGUGAAGAAGGCCU